GGGGGAACUACCUCUCUCUCAGGGAGUCAGCACUUUCAGAGAGUACGGCUGCCGUGGGAGGGAGUUCUGGGUGGGACCUGAUGGGGAAGUCUGCAUGAGGCCCACAGAUGCUUGGGUGCUGGGGAGGAGACAAUAAAAACAGGCAGGAGAGCUGGGAGCCUUGACUGAAGAAUGGAGAAGAGUGCCCCUUACAUUUGUCACAGACCAACCUGAGGUGGCUCUUCAGGACAGAUCUUUAACAGUAGUAAUAAUAAUAGCAAUAAACUACAUAGCUCUAAGCACUUUAUGUACGUUGGUUCAUUAAUGAUCAGGAACCUGAGGUGCAGAGAGGUUGAUAACUUGUCUGAGGUAGAGCUAGUAAGUAGUAGAGCUUUGAAUCUAGGCAGCCUGGCUCCAGGAUCCAUGUGUUUAUCCCUCAGCUGUCUCCCAAAUGACUGGCAAGAGAGGAUACGAGUCCGUAAAACCCUGGAUUAUGUCUGUUUCUUUAUCCCAGCGAUUCCAAAGUGAGUCACUCCAAUUUGAUGUGUACUUUAAAAUAGAGAGAGGGAAGGAUACUGUCCUUGUGUCCUUGAAUUCAGGUGAGAGUGAGUGAGGGGGGAGAUCACUUUGAGUCAAAAGGUUCUGGGAUGCCUACCCUCCUGGCUGGAACUUUGGAGGAUGAAUUGAUCACAUCUGAGGAAAUUCUGUCUUUUUAAAAUUUAGUAAAAAAAAUUUUUUUUGGCUGUGCUGUAUGGCAUGUGGGAUCUUAGUUCCCCGACUGGGAAUCGAACCUGUGCCCCCUGCAGUGGCAGCAUUGAGUCUUAACCACUGGACCGCCAGGAAAGUCCCAAGGGAAUGCUGUCUUAUCCGGUCUAAAGGUGAUGUUAUUGAACCUGUGUCUUUCCUCAUCAGCCUGCUCCUGGAAGUGGUGGGCAGCUGAAGCCAAGAUGACAAAGGAGAAGAUUAGAGGUACUGGAGACCUAACCAAGCCAUGGACCUGGAAGAUGAAAAGUGAGUGCCAGGACCUGCCCUGCUGUCCCGGGAGCGCGCAAAUAACUCCUCCCAAUAAAAAAGAAAGGACGUUUUUAACAUCCAAGGGUUGGAAGGACAUUGGGGCAGUGACUGCCCUGCAUUCAGCACAAGCCACAGACGGACUACAGUUCCCAGCGUACCUUGCAGUUACACGUGCCCUGGGGAUAGGGCGGAAGUGAGGCUCACUGCUCGCGGCCCUGGCCGGUAAAAUCCCCCACAAUCCUCCUCGCUUUCAUCCCCCACAAUCCUCCUCACUCUCAUCCCCCACGUGUGGAGGCAGGUGCUAAGCUUCCCGCGAAAGACCGAGUUCCCAGGUAGUGGCUGAGUCACAGGGUAACAGGAGCCGGAGUGCCCACAUGGCCAUGUGGAAGGCCACUGUCAACCCGGAAUAUUUUCACUGGAUUCUGAGUGAGCGAGUGUGGAGCCGUAACUCGGACUUCUGAGGAGGGGACAGUGGUCUGCAGUAUGGUACUGAUAUCUCUGGGAGCUUGAUGAGGCUCCUUCUGGGAAAGAGGAAGUAAACUGGAAACCGGAACCAACUGCUUCUAGAACUAGCAGCUGCCGCCAGGUAAGAAGUGGUGCGCAGGUGACAUUGAUGGGUGUAGCAAAACAAAGCAACCCACAGAAACAUGAAAAAACAAGCAAAACCCCCAGACAAG
ensembl:lncRNA